CAAGGAUCCCUCGCAGAGGGUGACUGCCACUUUCAGAGCGUUCCUAAGCGAAAACAUGGACCCGGAGCUGGUGUCCCCAAAGCCCUCUGUGGCUCUGAGUCCCAGACCCAUAGAAGACAUGCCCAGAUUCAACGACAUCACCAGUGGGCUUCAAUGAUAUCACCAGCGAGCCGUCUGAAAACAAACGGACAAGACCCCAAGUCAGACAUUCUAGAAUACGGUCAGCCUAAAAGCCGUCGAGCAACGAUCUUAUUGGUCACAAGGAUGGACGAAGUAUUUGAGGCCCACGGAGUCACCGUAGCAGAGCAGGGAAUCUGGGAAGCAGGGGCCCCGAGAAAGCCCCUUCGAUGGUGGCGACAGCAGGACGAAGCUGGUGUGAUUUCAGCUUCGGACGCGGACGGGCCGGUGUGACAGCCGCGUCCCCGCCGUCGGGGGGUCCCGAUGUCGGACGACGCCCGUAUCGGCUGGCGCGGCUGAGCAAUGAAGGUUCACCCGCACGAAUGCACUGGGUGCCAGGGAGGUCCCAGGAGGCGCUUUGUCACACGCAGCUCGCCACGGCCCCUGGCCCUCCCAGAGGGUGCCCCGGAGAAGCUUUCAAAGCAGACAGCCCCUCUGUUAGCAGCUCUCUUCCAGCCGCGGUGGGCGAGGGAAUGAGAGAGGGAACGUCCGAUGAUUACUUCCUUAUGGCCCUCACAUUCUUCAAGUAUAUUCCCUACACCCGCUGGAACGCUGCUGCAUUCUUGAGUCCUUCCUUCCCUUUCAGAGCACUGUCUUGUAUUGACACGCCGCUAAAAGGACACAGGAGCAGGACCGGCCUCCCCUCCCUCCGCGCGCGCCCCUCCUUCGCCAUGGCCGUGCUCUCUCCACGCCCGCCGUGCCUUGUUCUCUUUCUAAGAAUGCAAUAAACAUUUCAGCACGA